UACGAAGGGGCUAGCGUUGCUCGGAAUUACUGGGCGUAAAGCGCACGUAGGCGGCUUCUUAAGUCGGUGGUGAAAUCCUGGAGCUCAACUCCAGAACUGCCUUCGAUACUGAGAAGCUCGAGUCCGGAGAGGUGAGUGGAACUGCGAGUGUAGAGGUGAAAUUCGUAGAUAUUCGGAAGAACACCAGUGGCGAAGGCGGACUUACUGGACACAUAUUGACGCUGAGGUGCGAAAAGCGUGGGGAG
rnacentral:rRNA from 1 species